GACGAACGCUGGCGGCGUGCUUAACACAUGCAAGUCGAACGAUGAACCCGGAGCUUGCUCCGGCGGAUUAGUGGCGAACGGGUGAGUAACACGUGAGUAACCUGCCCUUGACUCUGGGAUAACUGCGGGAAACUGUAGCUAACACCGGAUACGACCCUCGGCGGCAUCGCCAGGGGGUGGAAAGAAUUUCGGUCAAGGAUGGACUCGCGGCCGAUCAGCUAGUUGGUGAGGUGACGGCUCACCAAGGCCACGACGGGUAGCCGGCCUGAGAGGGUGACCGGCCACACUGGGACUGAGACACGGCCCAGACUCCUACGGGAGGCAGCAGUGGGGAAUAUUGCACAAUGGGCGCAAGCCUGAUGCAGCAACGCCGCGUGAGGGAUGACGGCCUUCGGGUUGUAAACCUCUUUUAGUAGGGAAGAAGCGAAAGUGACGGUACCUGCAGAAAAAGCACCGGCUAACUACGUGCCAGCCGCCGCCGUAA
rnacentral:rRNA from 1 species